CGCGCAGGCGGUCGUUCAAGUCGAGUGUGAAAGCCCCCGGCUCAACUGGGGAGGGUCACUCGAUACUGAUCGACUCGAAGGCAGGAGAGGGAAGUGGAAUUCCCGGUGUAGUGGUGAAAUGCGUAGAUAUCGGGAGGAACACCAGUGGCGAAGGCGACUUCCUGGCCUGUUCUUGACGCUGAGGCGCGAAAGCUAGGGGAGCAAACG
rnacentral:rRNA from 1 species